AGAGAGGUAUUUUAAUAAAAAUUUUAAAUUGCAAAUUUAAAGAUAGGAGUUUCCUCCUUUCUU
rnacentral:tRNA from 1 species